rnacentral:rRNA from 1 species
UACGUAGGGGGCAAGCGUUAUCCGGAUUUACUGGGUGUAAAGGGAGCGUAGACGGCAGGGCAAGUCUGUUGUGAAAGUUUGCGGCUCAACCGUAAAAUUGCAGUUGAAACUGGCAGUCUUGAGUACAGUAGAGGUGGGCGGAAUUCGUGGUGUAGCGGUGAAAUGCUUAGAUAUCACGAAGAACUCCGAUUGCGAAGGCAGCUCACUGGACUGCAACUGACACUGAGGCUCGAAAGUGUGGGUAUCAAACAGG